GAUAUCGUGAACUGUAAUAUUGCGAUACUUCAAGAUUAUUUUUUUCGAUACAAUAUAUGUCAAAAUAUUUAUUCUUUCUGACAUCUGGUGAAUUAGAACAGACAAAGAAGUGCCACAUUUUGUAAUUAUUAUCAAAAUCUAUGAAUCCAAUUACAUGUAUUCAACAUUUCACACACUGUGCUGCACUAAAUCCAGUCAAACAGGGCUAAUUAUACCCUUAUUAAUUAAAAAAGUAGUUCAAAAGUGCUGAAAAUAUCCACAAUAUGCUCAGAAAAAGGAAUAUCGUAGUGCAAAUGAUCACAAUAACGGUUAAUACUGUCAUUGCCCAGCUCUAAUGUCAUGUUAAAGAAAAAUAAUGCUGCGCAGAUAUUGCGGAAUUGAACGCGCACCAAAACACACAGUGCUGAGAUUAUGUGGCGCCACUGUGUGGACAUGUACGCCUGUUUUAGGAGGCCCACACUGUGAAUAUUUACAACCAGAGAGCUCGUUGUGAGUUAAAAAGUGUAUGCUGAAAAAAUAUACGGACAUAUAAACAGAAAAUCCCUGAAGUCGCCUUCUUUUUCGAAUUUCCCCGUUCCACCUUAAAUGGUGCAGCAGUUCCAUUCUGUCGCCUCGGGCGCUGCAUUGAACUGCUGCACCAUUUAAGGUGGAACGGGGAAAUUCGAACAAGAAGCUGCUUCAUCGUCAGCCGGGAACAGACUAGCAGGCUGCUAAGCUCCAGCUGCACCAGGCCGGUUUGGAGAAGGUGUCUCUGCACACAGAGAGGCACAAACACUGCGACAAGCUCUCAUUUUAAAGAAACCACAUCUAGAGAUCCGCUUUCCGGAGCAGCCGCGAGGUCAGGCUGUAGGGUUUCCUCGGCAGUGGUAACGUUAGCUAACCGUUAACUUACAGCUGCAUUUGUUUUGAAAUUGUGGCGCGUUUUGUUUUUUAGUGCAGGACAGACAGAUGACCUGGGUUGCCGUGGUCAAGCUAAUUCUCAUUUCUUAAAAAAAAAUUAAAAUUAAAAUUAAAAAAAAAAAUCAAGAUAAUCUUCAAAGGAUCCAGUUCAGGUGGCCACAUCUUCCCAGGUUUAGGUCCCAGAGCUGCAGCUAAUAUGACUGGCAUCCAACCCAGGAGUGAGACGGUUGAGGACAGCUCGGAUGAUGAUGAGCCUCUGAGUGCACUGAUGAAGAGUAAAAAGGCUCCUGAGAGGACUAAAUGCUCAAAUGAGACACAGUCACCUGGACGCAGCUCAGAUGAUGAGCCUCUAAGCAAAAUGACCAAGUCCAAAAGCUCAUCACCUGCAAGCUCAGAUGGACAUCAGGAGAGUGACAUUUUCAUACCAGCUGCAGUUAAGCCCUCAGAUUCAGAGGACGAUCAGCCACUAACAGCGAUGAUGAAAAAGAGGAAGAAGAGGCCGGUCAGAGAGGAGACUGAAAUGCUUGAACAGGGUGAUGCCAACAAGACCAGAAAUCCCGAAAGGCAUAAAAUAGAAGAGAAGGCCUCUAAGCUGAGGCAGGCAUCACCAUCACCAGUGAAGACCCCCCAGAAAAGAGGAAGAAAGGGUAAGCAGGAAAGGAAGAGAAUGGCUUCAGAACAAUCCACACCUGAGGUCAUGGCACCUAAAAAGAGAGGGCGCCCUAAGAAAGAAGACACAGAGAGAAAAGCGCCCUCUGGUGAUGGCUCUGGUGAUGAUGAGCCUUUGGUCCGGCUGGUGAAGAAGAAGAGGCAACCACAGAUGAAGGAGGCAGUGGUGCUGCUGAGGCGAAUGUCUAAAAGCGAUGUUAUUGACGCGAUUACGCAGGGGGACACACGCAGCCGAGAGCAGAGCAGCAAAGCAAGGGCAGGCGCAAAGAGUGAUGUUGAAAGCUUGGACGAGGAGCAGCUGAGUCACAAAGUGAAGCGACAGAAACAGCAGAGUAAGCCUGUGAGAGACAGAACAAGAGGUGCCAGCUCGGACGACGAACCUCUGGUGAGGCGAGUGAAGGCAGCACCGGUGAGGAAUAAGUGCAGGAAAAGGACCAAUGGUGACACACCCAAGCAAGAAUCAGAGCUGGGUGACGAGUUAAAAAACGACUCUGACGACGAGAGCCUGGUAAAGAGGAAAUCAGACAGAGCAGCUCAGCCUCUCUACAGGGAAAGCAGCAGCUGAACAACACGCACAAGGUUGUAGGUGUUUCUGAUGAAAUGGCCAGUGAGAGUAAGGACAAGAUUUGAUGUGAAAGCAGAUCUAAGAAGAGGACUCCCUUAUUAUUAUUCAUAUAAUUCUGUGAUCAUUAGUCCUGCAUUCCACGACGUUAUUUGUUUGUAGUAAUGACGGUGCUAAACUGUCAUGCUGGAUUUAAUUUCACUGGAUUUAAAAUUUAUGAAAUCGUAUACUGUGUAGUUGCACAGUUUCAUGCCAUGAUGCACAUGAAUGCAUGAAACAGUUACUUUGUUUUAAAUUAGAUUGUUUUAAAUAUUUUAUAUGCAUCGUUUUUUGGCCUUUUUAUGUUACGCAUGCUGAUGUUUUGUUUUGACAGUGUUUGUAGUAAAAAAGAAGUGCACUAGAUGAAAUGCA